AAGUCGUAACAGUUACCGAUGUCAGGUGACACUGCGGAAGGAUCAUUAAAGAAUUCGGCUUCGCGGCCAAGUUCUCACCCUUUGUAUACCGAAACCACGUUGCUUUGGCAGGCCCCUGCAUUUCUCGGGCCUGCCAGAGGUUAUAAACCCUAGAAUCUCUGCUGUCUGAGUACUAUGCAAUAGUUAAAA
rnacentral:misc_RNA from 1 species